CCUACGGGUGGCUGCAGUCGAGAAUCAUUCACAAUGGGGGAAACCCUGAUGGUGCGACGCCGCGUGGGGGAAUGAAGGUCUUCGGAUUGUAAACCUCUGUCAGCAGGGAAGAACGGUAACUGUGCUAAUCAGCAGUGAAUUGACGGUACCUGCAAAGGAAGCACCGGCUAACUCCGUGCCAGCAGCAGCGGUAAUACGGAGGGUGCGAGCGUUAAUCGGAAUUACUGGGCGGAAAGCGCUCGUAGGCGGUAGGUUAAGUGAAGGGUGAAAGCCCCGCGCUCAACGUGGGAACUGCCUUUGAGACUGGCAAACUGGAGUGUGUGAGAGGAGAGUGGAAUUCCAGGGGUAGGAGUGAAAUCCGUAGAUAGCUGGAGGAACAUCAGUGGCGAAGGCGACUAUCUGGCACAUAACUGACGCUGAGGAGCGAAAGCGUGGGUAGCAAACAGGAUUUGAUACCCGGGUAGUC
rnacentral:rRNA from 1 species